CCAAGAUGAGUAAGUCUUAUCUCUGUCUUGGGGAAAGUAGCAUCUACUUGGUAAAACAAUCAAUUAAUUAAUUAAGAUGGGGUAUGAGUGUGUAGACACACAAGUACUUGCAUAAGACUUAUGAUUAAGGCAAUGAGUGAUAAAUUUCUUGGGUAGACAUAAAUGCUGCAGGAUUUUCAAAAAGUUUAAGCUCACUAUAGCCCAAGGAAGACAAAAGAAAAAAGUAAUAUACACUUUCAGUAGGGGGCGUUAUUGUCUUUAUCUACAGACAAUGUGGUUUGUAUUCUUUGUGCAUGGAAAUUACUAAACUUUUGGAAUGUUUAGUUAUAAAGAAUGUGUGCGUGUAUCCUUCAAACAAGAAACGGGUUGGUUGGUAUGGAAGAAAUCUACUUGAAAACUUUCCUGAAGUCCAUCAAAAUAGGUCAUCACUUUGAGAAGUUGCUGGAUGAAAGCAACGCUUAUUUGCAGAGUUGUCUAUGGUGGGAAGUUUAAGUCAUUCUCUGUGAACAGCCAGCCACACAGGAAAACGGCAAAUUCAAAGCAUGAAGAUCAAAGUUGUUAUGAUUACAUUCUCUUUCCAUUUCACCUUACUGUGCUGUGCAUGCUUAUUAUUUUAUGCUCUUUACCCAGCCCAUUACCUAGUCCCUCUAGUUCUGAGGUCAAGGGAAUGGCAUUUCCCCUUUAGAACAUUACUACCUCACACCCUAUAAUUGGCUAGUGGAAUUAGAGAGAUUGUGGUUAUGGGAACAGAAAAUUCCCCCUUUGACAAAAAUGCAGGAUUGUCAUGGCGCUAUUUACUUUUACCCAUUCAAGCAUUAUUCAGGCUUACAUAUUUUUAAAAAAAAUUCUUUCACUUUCAAACAUUUGAGAUGUUUGCUAUUAAACUAGGCUGGCUAAAAACCAUUAGACAGAGAUAUUUACAACCUGGAGGACCUGCAAAAACUAUCAAUCCAGACACCUUUGUUUUAAAAAAACCCUUAGACAUCGUUUACAGUUCACAGGGCAGUUGUUUUCACAUAGAGGACGUUAUCUGCCAAAGUCACAUCGGAGAUAACACGGAAUAUCUGACAGAACAGAAAAUUAGAGAGGAAACACUCUUUGAGGCACUGAGUCAAAGAUCCCAAAUUUUUGGAUCUCCACAGAGGAUAACAGGACGCUGAAGAAGAGGACCAUGUUGGAAUGUGGAAUUCCACUCAAACCUGUGCUUGGGUCCCUCUUUAUUGAUUUCUUAAGCAGCCAAAUGCCCCAUUUCUUACUAUUCCUCCUACGAACCACUGCUCUGGAAUUUGGGGUUUUAAUCCAACGACGACUGUAGAAAG
rnacentral:lncRNA from 1 species